rnacentral:misc_RNA from 1 species
GGGUCCCGUCGCCGUCCGUGUCCCCUUGUCCCAACGUUCCUCGCUCCAGAGAGUUUUCAAAUGCACGCGCGCUUGAUCCCCAAAUCUACCGUACCAGACCUGGACGAGCGCCGCCACCUGCUCUCGCUGGGCGCGGCGACCGGCCGACGACCGCUGCACGUCUCGAUCCAGGGCUUCGUCAUCUGCUCCCACUGGACCUUGCGUCCGCCGGCGGCUGCACCUCAGAGGUCGGCUUUGGUCUGCCAGCGCCAUCCUGCGUCACGAUGGACCCAACGAAUCAGCGGUCCUCAGGAGCAGGGCGCCGCAGCUCCGUCGCGGCUACCAUGGGACGUGGUGGUGCAUGCGUCCAUGGUCAGCAGCAUGUGCCGGCACCUACGUCACUCCGUUCGCCCUCUUUACCUGAGUUGCAACAAGCACAAUCUGCAAUGCCACCAAAUCCCUCAUGGAACUUUUAUCCACCAAAUGGUUUUCUGAAUCUCAUUAACCAACCGUACAUGCCAAUGUCGUCGCAACCACUUGGAGAGAAUUUCCACUUUGUUGGUCUCACCCAGAAUUUCAACACAUCUCCACCACCGCCACCAAGUGCUAAAAGGACUAAAAAAGCAUCCAGACUUGCUAAAGAAACUAUUCAGAUUGGUGGUGAUGGUGAUGCAGCAACUGAGGAAUCUAAGGCAGUCAAUAAAAGGUAUUGGGCACAUGACGAGGAAGUGAGGCUGGCUAGUUCUUGGUUGAACUGUUCUCAUGAUCCAAUACAUGGCAAUGACAAGAAAGGAGAAACUUUCUGGAAGGAAAUUGCAGAAUACUUUAACAAGCAUGCUCCAGCAGAUCGUCAAAGGGACGUCAAUCAAUUAAAGAUACACUGGACACGGUUGAAGACAGUGACCAACAAUUUCAAUGGGUGUUGGAGCGCAGUAUCAAAAAUGCAUACAAGUGGGUACUCUGAUGAUCAGUUAAUGGAUGAGGCACAAAAGAUGUAUGCAAAUGGUAGUAACGGCAAACCUUUCACGUUAGUUCAUUGGUGGAAAGCUCUCAGAAAUGAACCUAAAUUUUGUGCACAAAUCUCACAGAUGAUUAAGGAAAAAGGUCAGAGCCAUACCAUUGACAUCACUAAAGACAAAGAUCAGCUUCCCUUACAACGUCCUAUAGGAAGAGAUGCAGCCAAGGCUCAAAGGAAUGGUAAGCGCAAGGCAGAAGAGGUUUUGGAUGGUAUUGCUCGCCUUGGUGAUAGCAUAAACAAAAUUAUUGAAGUGCAACAUGACCGUAAGCAAGAGCGUAAAAAGGUGGCUGAAACUCAACUAGAAAUCUCAAGGUUACAACUCAAAGCUGCACAGGAGCAGAAGGAGGUAAAAUUGCUUGAAGUAUAUAGCUCACUACUGCAGCAAGACACUAGCCAAUUAUCUAAUCAAGGAAAGAUAAACCGAGAGAAGGCAUUGCAAAAGAUGGAGCUGAAAUUAUUUGGUGAUAGUGAAAAUAUGAUGUGAGCUGAAUUAUUUGGUGACAUUCAAGGGUGAAGUCAAGGGUGAACUGAAAGGAAAAUAUGAUGUGAAUUGAAAUGAAAGUGUUCAUUUUCUGAGUUUGCAUUCAAAUCUAUUUGUGUGUCCUGUAUGAACUGAAAUGAAAGUGUCCAUUUUUAUUUAUAUAUGGCAGCACAUUUAUCUCAAGGAAGCGUACUAUUGUUUGGCUGCAAAUAUACAUGCCACACUAGAUCAUGAAACUUACUAGCAUUUAAUUGCACUGG